rnacentral:rRNA from 1 species
ACCAUCCUAAGGUAGCGAAAUUCCUUGUCGGGUAAGUUCCGACCUGCACGAAUGGAGUAACGACUUCCCUACUGUCUCAACCAUGAACUCGGCGAAAUUGCAGUACGAGUAAAGAUGCUCGUUUCGCGCAGCAGGACGGAAAGACCCCGUGACCUUUACUAUAGUUUGGUAUUGGUGUUUGGUUUGGCUUGUGUAGGAUAGGUGGGAGACUGUGAAGCAUGGACGCUAGUUUGUGUGGAGUCGUUGUUGAAAUACCACUCUGGUCAAUCUGGAUGUCUAACUUCGGGCCAUGAUCUGGUUCAGGGACAGUGCCUGAUGGGUAGUUUAACUGGGGCGGUUGCCUCCUAAAGUGUAACGGAGGCGCCCAAAGGUUCCCUCAGCCUGGUUGGCAAUCAGGUGUUGAGUGUAAGUGCACAAGGGAGCUUGACUGUGAGACUGGCAGGUCGAGCAGGGACGAAAGUCGGGACUAGUGAUCCGGCGGUACGUUGUGGAACGGCCGUCGCUCAACGGAUAAAAGGUACCUCGGGGAUAACAGGCUGAUCUUGCCCAAGAGUCCAUAUCGACGGCAUGGUUUGGCACCUCGAUGUCGGCUCGUCGCAUCCUGGGGCUGGAGUCGGUCCCAAGGGUUGGGCUGUUCGCCCAUUAAAGCGGUACGCGAGCUGGGUUCAGAACGUCGUGAGACAGUUCGGUCCCUAUCCGCUGCGCGCGUUGGAAAUUUGAGAAAGGCUGUCCUUAGUACGAGAGGACCGGGACGGACGAACCUCUGGUAUGUCAGUUGUACCGCCAGGUGCAUGGCUGAUUGGCUACGUUCGGGAGGGAUAACCGCUGAAAGCAUCUAAGCGGGAAGCCUGUUUCGAGAUGAGAUUUCCUGGCACUUUGGUGUGUGAGGCUCCUUAUAGAUGAUGAGGUUGAUAGGCCGGGUAUGGAAGCGGGGACUGAAGACUCGUGGAGUUGACUGGUACUAAUAGGCCGAAGGCUUACUUUU